UCAAAUCAUAUAAAAAAAGUACUUAAAGUAUUUUCGAAUUAGGAAAAAGUUUUGAUGGUAUUACAUAGCCGAAAAUUUACAAGAGAAGUAUAUUUUAUUUAUAUUCAGGUGUUACUGGAGUCCGUAGUUAGUCUGGAUCCUGAAACCAUCUAAAAAAUAGUAUGCAAAGGAAGAUUUAACUACCCUUGUGAUGAAUUCCGUGGCAAAUAUUGUCAAAUGCUUUUGACAAGUUACUGAAAAACUGCCUCAAAAGCCCCCAAAUUAAAAUGAUAUGUCAAGAAUAAAAUAUCAAGAACGUCAACGUCGCGUGAUUUAUAAACAAAGUUUAAUUUUUACUCUGUUUUAAAUGUUGUUUUUAUGAGUGAAACUUAUAAUAAAAUAAAGUGAAAAGUUUUGUAGUGAA